UACAGAGGUCUCAAGCGUUGUUCGGAUUUACUGGGCGUAAAGGGUGUGUAGGCGGUUGGGUAAGUCUGAAGUGAAAUCUCUAAGCUCAACUUAGAAAAUGCUUCGGAUACUAUCCGGCUAGAGGGUCGGAGAGGAGAUUGGAAUUCUCGGUGUAGCAGUGAAAUGCGUAGAUAUCGAGAGGAACAUCAGUGGCGAAGGCGGAUCUCUGGACGAAUCCUGACGCUGAGGCACGAAAGCUAGGGUAGCAAACGGG
rnacentral:rRNA from 1 species